rnacentral:rRNA from 1 species
CGCGAAGAACCUUACCAAGGCUUGACAUAUACAGGAAUAUGGCAGAGAUGUCAUAGCCGCAAGGUCUGUAUACAGGAGGUGCAUGGUUGUCGUCAGCUCGUGUCGUGAGAUGUUGGGUUAAGUCCCGCAACGAGCGCAACCCUCGUUCUGUGUUGCCAGCAUUUAGUUGGGGACUCACAGGAGACUGCCGGGCUUAACUCGGAGGAAGGUGGGGAUGACGUCAAAUCAUCAUGCCCCUUAUGUCUUGGGCUGCACGCAUGCUACAAUGGCUGGUACAAACGGCUGCGAUACCGCAAGGUGGAGCGAAUCCGAUAAAGCCAGUCUCAGUUCGGAUUGGGGUCUGCAACUCGACCCCAUGAAGUCGGAGUUGCUAGUAAUCGUAGAUCAGCAACGCUACGGUGAAUACGUUCCCGGGGCUUGUACACACCGCCCGUCACAUCACGAAAGUCGGUAACACCCA